rfam:Salmo salar isolate Sally breed double haploid chromosome ssa02, whole genome shotgun sequence.
GUCACUGUGGCUCAGUUGGUAGAGCAUGGUUUUUGCAAUGUUGUUUGCAACGCCAGGGUUGUGGGUUCGAUUCCCACGGGGGGCC